rnacentral:rRNA from 1 species
AGAGUUUGAUCAUGGCUCAGAACGAACGCUGGCGGCAGGCUUAACACAUGCAAGUCGAACGCACCUUCGGGUGAGUGGCAGACGGGUGAGUAACGCGUGGGAACGUGCCCUUCAGUUCGGAAUAACCCAGGGAAACUCGGGCUAAUACCGCAUACGACCGAGAGGUGAAAGAGGGCUCGUAAGGGCUCUUACUGAAGGAGGGGUCCGCGUUCGAUUAGCUAGUUGGUAGGGUAAUGGCCUACCAAGGCGACGAUCGAUAGCCGGCCUGAGAGGGUGAUCGGCCACACUGGAACUGAGACACGGUCCAGACUCCUACGGGAGGCAGCAGUGGGGAAUUUUGCGCAAUGGGCUAACGCCUGACGCAGCAACGCCGCGUGGAGGAUGAAGGUCUUUGGAUUGUAAACUCCUGUCAGCAGGGAAAAAGCGAGGGGACCUAAUACGUCCUUGAGUUGAUUGUACCUGCAGAGGAAGCCCCGGCUAACUCUGUGCCAGCAGCCGCGGUAAUACAGAGGGGGCAAGCGUUAUUCGGAAUUAUUGGGCGUAAAGGGCGCGUAGGCGGCUUUUCAAGUGACGGGUGAAAUCCCUCGGCUUAACCGAGGAACUGCCUGUCAGACUGGAAGGCUUGAGACCGGGAGAGGUGAGUGGAAUUCCCAGUGUAGCGGUGAAAUGCGUAGAUAUUGGGAGGAACACCAGUGGCGAAGGCGGCUCACUGGACCGGAACUGACGCUGAGGCGCGAAAGCGUGGGGAGCAAACAGGAUUAGAUACCCUAGUAGUCC